rnacentral:rRNA from 1 species
GCACGGAGUUAGCCGGAGCUUACAAACAGUACCGUCAUCGUAAGAGAUGUUAACUCUUACUUAUUCUUCCCGUUCUUGCGAAGUUUACAUCCCGAGGGAUUUCAUCCUUCACGCGGCGUUGCUGGGUCAGGCUUUCGCCCAUUGCCCAAAAUUCCCGACUGCUGCCUCCCGUAGGAGUCUGACCCGUAUGUCAGUGUCAGUGUGGCCGACCGCCCUCUCAGGCCGGCUACGGAUCAUCGCCUUGGUAAGCCGUUACCUUACCAACUAGCUAAUCCGCCGCAGGCUCCUCUUUAGACGCGAGGUCUUGCGAUCCCCCGCUUUAACAACUGUCACCAUUAGGUGCCGCUGCAUUAUUCGGUAUUAGCCACCGUUUCCGGUGGUUAUUCCCAAUCCAAAGGUAGAUUACCUACGUGUUACUCACCCGUGCGCCACUCUACUUGCCCCCCGAAGGAGGCUUUCGCGUUCGACUUGCAUGUCUGAGGCACGCCGCCAGCGUUGAUU